GUUUGAACAUUUAUUUGCUUCCUGAGCUUGUACAACAGUCGUGGGAGUUGCUGCAGAAGCAACCGAAAAGCCAGAUGAGCGCUUCUAAGCUUAGGAGGAAGAGAGAGGGAGAGUGCCCCAUCUCUUCCAUGUUCCAGGCAUUCCUGAGAUGACUUAUUGGAGCUCAAAGCUUUGGGAAAGUUGGGGCCAUCCAUUCCCUCCAGUAAAUACUCGUUUUUCUUCCACCGCUGAGGCAAAUGCGGGGUGGCUGAUCACCUGGCAGACAUCUUAGGAAACACGAGCACCGGUCUGGGAAACUGCUGGCCUGGCCUAACACCUGGCGCUGUGGUGCAGGAAAAUCAGUCUGCGCUGAACAGGAUGGAAUUGGGGCAGGAUGUCCAGUGAGGAGGACAUUGAGGCAGUAGAGCAGUUGAUUGCCAAAUGACCACCUACCCUGACUUAAAAGAUCAACCUCAGGGUGGAUUGGAGCUUUCUAGAGUCUCUUGGGACAGCAGAAACACAGGCCGGGUUGGACUGAAUCUUUAAGUGGGACAUGAGGGACAAAGUACCUCCUGUUGGUAAACAUCUCACCACCAGCCCACUGUGGUGGCUAAAAUCCCACCUUUAGUCCCAGCAACAUGUGAGCAUGUCACCAGGAGGUCUUCACUGGCCUGUCUGCCACCUGAGUAUAGGCAUCUUGUGUCCCUGGAGCCCAGAGAGGCUGAAUGUGGAGAGGGUGGAGAGAGGUCUGUAGUCCUCAGAGAAGACUUGCAGCUUUUUCAGAGCCACCAACCCCAUAAAAAAAAAAAACCCCCAAACAGAAAAACCCUAACUGUGGUGACCAGGUACCUCCUGAGACAUGAAGCCUCCACUUACCUGGACCCUGGAGGCCUUUCCGGGCACAGCUGCCAGUGUUGAUCUUAGAUAAGACCACCAGCAAGUAAACACCCAC
rnacentral:antisense_RNA from 1 species